AAUGACAACUUGACGAGAUCUUGACACGCACGUUGGAAGUGUACGCGUGUUUGCACCUCGAUGAGCGUUGCACAAUAACAAAGCUCCGUUGGUGAGCGUAUUGAUUAAUAAAGCUAGGUGAAGUCCUUGAGUGCCUCAAGGACUUUGUUUUGUUUUAGCAGUAUUUUUUCCUUCAACAAUUAAUCUUGCAUCUCCAACCGUGGAAUGAGUUACAUGUGACUCGAGACAAACAAACAGUGCAAUUGCAACAAUAUAAUUAGUCAGCGAUAUAAAUUUGCCAUAUCUUCAUGCCAACCACAAGGAUUCUGCUUUUGCACACACCUUCAUUAUUAAUGUGUUUCUUCAGGUAUGGUCACUAUCAGCAGCUUUACACACAGUGUGCAUCGUGAAUACAUCAAUCCCAGAGAAAACAUUCCAAUGGAAAAUAUUGAGAAUUUCUGCCCUUCUAUCCUGAACUAAACAAUGCUGAGAUGAGUCAUCCGCUCCUUGGACAACGCUGCGAUCGUGGUGAAGAAAUUAUCGGGAG
rnacentral:lncRNA from 1 species